rnacentral:rRNA from 1 species
UAACCGCUGAAAGCAUCUAAGCGGGAAACUCGCCUUAAGAUUAGUCUUCCCGGGAACUUGAUUCCCCUAAAGGGUCGUUGUAGACCACGACGUUAAUAGGUCGGGUGUGGAAGUACAGUAAUGUAUUAAGCUAACCGAUACUAAUUGCCCGUGAGGCUUGACCCU